rnacentral:lncRNA from 1 species
UCGCUUCACUUUCUCCAUUGGCAGCCUAAGUCCCAGGCUUCUGCAGGCUGUCUGGGUAGCAGGCAGGCGAGACCGAGGGACGCAUCUGUGUAGUGCUUCUUUGCCACGUUCUUGGCUCCAGAACCACCUCCCAGCAUCCCCUCCCAGGCUUCUGUGUCUUAAGAACUCGGUGAUUUGGUUCUGGCUUCUGACUUGGAUCCUGGACCAGUUCCUGUGCCACUGAGGCUCAGCUGUAGAAAUGGGUGUGAGUUCCUUGUGCUGAGCCAUGGCCGGACUGAGUGGAGAUGCAGGCAGAUGUGUGGCUGGUGCCAUCAUUUAGACAACUGUGCCUUUUGUGGGUUCAACAGCUUUGCCAGACUCUGGAUGCACAGCUGCACGAGGCAGGGUUCAUGGCCCUUCCAUGGUGGGGACAGUCGUGUGAGCUGGUGAUUAGAACAUGAUAUAACUGCAGGAGCCACCCCGUCAGGUUCCCAGCCUAUGAAUGUGCCCUAGAACAGGUCCUAUGGAGGAGUCGGGAGCCUCAGAGGCGGAAGUCUGAAGGGCAGUGCAGUGUGUGUGGCCCAUGUGAGUCGCCCAGGCCACUGCUCACCAGACUUCUCAGCCGGGCAACAUACCCAAGCUCCCUUCUAGAUAGACCCUCCCCUCCAGGAUCCUGCUUUCUUCAAAGGUUGUGCUGAUCUGAGGAGGUAGGAACCCUCUUAGCUGCACACCUUUAAUAAACACUGCUAAGGCAGGAGGAUGUCUAUAUGUUUGGGGCCAGCCUAGGCUAUGCAGGAAGACCCAGUGUCCAAAAAAGGAGAAGUAGGCAAAGAGCUCUACUUUCAAGCCCACCGGGGUCAUGCAGGUCUGGCUUCCUAGGGACAAGGCACAGUCCCAUCCUAGAGACUAGGUGUUCAUGUUGCUUCUGCUAUAGUUUCUUUGCCUCCUUCCUGGCUUUACAUGGCAAGAACUUCCUCCCAUAAAUAGGUGUGGAGAUCCACAAGGACUAUGGACUGUUCUUGCUGUGGGGGGGCAGGUGGCAGCUCAGUGGGAGAAAGACUAGAGGGUUGUAAGGAGCCAUCACUGUCUCUUGUAUGUUAAAUGCAUCCACUGGUUCAGCUGGCCAAGCCAGAAGCUUAAACCUACAGAAGACUUUGUGUCCUCUCAGCUCCCUUUCGCCUCUGUCUUGCCUCACGUGUGUGAGAUGUGGGGUGGCCACAAGAGCCCUUAUGUCCCCAGGUGUGAUCUGUUAGUUUGGUAUGUCUCAGUCCUUGUAACACAGAGGAAGCGAGUACCCACCUCUUUUCAUCUUGCAAACAUUUUAGGCAAUGUCCCAGUAGAACCCUGGGGGAGUUAUGGAGCCUCAUUUAGAGCUGAUCCCAUCCCUCAGUAUCAGGCCUGAGGGUGUCUAAAGAACCCACAGGCCCCAAAGAGAAUGCUAGAGCACAUUCCAGGCACAGACAUGGCUUGAUCUCUGUAAGGGUGGCGGGUGCCCUCUUAAACAGUAGCUGGGACAUGGUGGCCGCACACGGUGGAUGCUUGAUAGACACUGAGUUGAAUGGAUAAGUGAAUGAAUGAGCUAGCACAUCUCUUCACUGAUGGUGGAAAACAUAGCAUCUUUGAUCUAGCCAGGUCAUACUUCGUAGUUAUCCACUGAUUGGCUCUCAGGCUCCAUCCAUUUAGUUCUGAAGCCACUGUGUCUAGGACAGUGCCUGGCUUACAAGGGAUUGAUUUUCUUGACCUAGUAAGGUGGACUACAUUACCUUUGGCUCUCUAGCCUAUGUCCCCUCCCUGAAGGAGCAGGUCUGUCUCCUUCCUCCUCAGAGAUGGCUUCUCCAAACCCAGACUUCUACCUUCCUACUGAGGGUGGGCACUAUGCUUGGCUCUCCCCACACAAGCUGACCACCGUCCUCCUCCGUGCCCAUUGAAGGCAGGCUCUGUAGUUCUUGUUUCUCCUUGAGAGGCAUUUUGUUUACGUCACUGGUGUUCUUGAGACGUAACAUCCUGAGGUGAAGUGAGUGGAAUGGAGGAUACAUAGGACUCUCGCUGGACAAGUUCAGAGUAGCAGAAGGGACCUCGUUCUACCAGGCUCCAGGGAAAGACUCCCCCCUCCUCUGCCACUCCCCCAAGCCUCUUCUCUGCCCCACGCCACCCCAUGUCCUGUUCAGGAGUCUGAAUCCCCAGGAGCCCCCACUCCCACCCUCCAGGCAAGAGGAGUAGCUUGGCCACGAUUCUGGGGAAGGAGGCGGCAGGGUAAUUACAGUUACUGGAAAUAAUCUUAUUUCCUUUCACCCUUCUCUAUCCCACUG